rnacentral:rRNA from 1 species
UGGAGCAUGUGGUUAAUUCGAAGCAACGCGCAGAACCUUUACCUACCCUUGACAUGUCCAGUAUGGUCACCAGAGAUGGAGACCUUCAGUUCGGCUGGCUGGAACACAGGUGCUGCAUGGCUGUCGUCAGCUCGUGUCGUGAGAUGUUGGGUUAAGUCCCGCAACGAGCGCAACCCUCGCUUCUAGUUGCCAGCAUUCAGUUGGGCACUCUAGAGGGACUGCCGGUGAUAAGCCGGAGGAAGGUGGGGAUGACGUCAAAUCAUCAUGCCCCUUAUGGCCUGGGCUACAAACGUAAUACAAUGGCGUAUACAAAGGGAUGCGAAAGGGUGACCUGGAGCAAAACUCACAAAGUACGUCUCAGUUCAGAUUGGAGUCUGCAACUCGACUCCAUGAAGGCGGAAUCGCUAGUAAUCGCGGAUCAGCAUGCCGCGGUGAAUACGUUCUCGGGGUUU